UCACCAAAGAAAGCCCUCGGUCCAGCUGCGUGAGAGGAAAAGGAGCUGGCCGACAUCGCCGGCGGGAGGAGGACAAAAUGCUGCUGGCGGAGAUGCCGCACCUUGUUCCGGGCCACAUUUCUGCCAGCACAGGAAGGAGGAGGCCGACGGCGAUCACAGCAGGCCAAGGCGCCACUCCACGCCGACGGACGGCUUGGCGGCCGCGCGAGGCCGUCCGGGUGGGGCGCGAGAGCUUCAGAGCAAAAUACACAGACUCUUUUGGAGGUGGAAGUGAUAUAUCUCCAUUCUCCAGAAAGGACACAAUUGAUGACACGAGUGGCCGCGCAUUUGGGCUGUCUUGAACACACAAAAGUCCAAUAUGGAUGCACCGUAUAGUUUCAUCAGAUGCUCACAGUGCAUUUCUUCCAUCAAAAUGUAUGACUCGGAAAUGAUUUUUUGCACCGGAGGAGGUGAAAGCUCUGAGAUUGCAAGGCUGGAGCAACUCUGUAUAAUUUGCACACAUGGGUAGCACUGUAGCAAAUCAGAGGUAGAUUCAGCAGGUAUUCUUAUGCUUGACUAAUCGGGACACCUAUGUGCAAGUGAUCAUCUGGCCUUGUUUUGCCGAGUCAUCUGGCACUAGAACUACCACUUGCUUUUUACAGUGAAUGUUCAGGGUACUGAUCUCUUUUUGAGUAGUGUAAAACUGAUAACCAUGUUCAUCUGGCACUGCAGCCAUGUCAUAGCCGACUCUCUAGCUUCAGAGAUCGUUUUUGGCAACAGGCAUGGUUUUACUGCUGACUGGCUGGGGGUUCAUGGUUGUCGGCGUCUUGUUAUUCUAGCCUAAGGAGACUUUGUUUUGUCGCCCCUAGUAAUUCUGUACUACCUACGUCGUGUAGUCGGUUCAUCUUGUAGCGAUUUAGGAAGAUGUUUUUCUUCCUUCUUGUAGAAGCGUAACGUUUUUUCCUGCCUGGAUGUAUCUCUGCUGCAUCGGUGUUUCAUGUGUCGUUUUAAUAUCUUGUGAAUGAAAAAAAUGUUUUAUGAA